UACGUAGGCAGCGAGCGUUGUUCGGAGUUACUGGGCGUAAAGGGUGUGCAGGCGGUUGUUUAAGUUUGGUGUGAAAUCUCCCGGCUCAACUGGGAGGGUGCGCCGAAUACUGAAUGACUAGAGUGCGGGAGAGGAAAGUGGAAUUCCUGGUGUAGCGGUGAAAUGCGUAGAUAUCAGGAGGAACACCGGUGGUGGAGACGGCUGUCUGGACCGUAACUGACGCUGAGACACGAAAGCGUGGGUAGCAAACAGG
rnacentral:rRNA from 1 species